GGGGAUGUAGCUCAGUUGGUAGAGUAUUUGUCUCACAUGUACUACAAGGUCUUGGGUUCAAUCCCUAGCACUACCA
rnacentral:tRNA from 1 species